ensembl:lncRNA
CUAGGUGUACAGUGUUUCCUCCGACACAUUGGUGCAGCUGUCUUCCGGGUUGGAUGCAAACUGUGUUAAGAAGCAGUGCAGCUUGGUUAUGUUGUGUUUCGGAGGACGCAUGGCUCUCGACCUUCGCCUCUCCCGAGUCCAUGCGGGAGUUGUAGCGAUGAGACAAGACAGUAACUACUAACAAUUGGAUACCACGAAAAGGGGGAGGACCUGAGCCCUAGGACCAUGCCUCAGGACUACCUGGCAUGAUGACUCCUUGUUCUCCCCAGUCCACCUGGCCGUGCUGCUGCUCCAGUUCCAACUGUUCUGCCUGCGGCUAUGGAACCCUGACCUGUUCACUGGAUGUGCUACCUGUCCCAGAACUAUUAUUUGACCAUGCUGGUCAUUUAUGAACAUUUGAACAUCUUGGCCAUGUUCUGUUAUAAUCUCCACC